rnacentral:rRNA from 1 species
GACGAACGCUGGCGGCGUGCUUAACACAUGCAAGUCGAGCGGUAAGGCCCUUUCGGGGGUACACGAGCGGCGAACGGGUGAGUAACACGUGGGUGACCUGCCCUUAGCUCUGGGAUAAGCCUGGGAAACUGGGUCUAAUACCGGAUAUGACUCCAUGACGCAUGUUGUGGGGUGAAAGCCUUGUGCGGCUAGGGAUGGGCCCGCGGCCUAUCAGCUUGUUGGUGGGGUGAUGGCCACCAAGGCGACGACGGGUAGCCGGCCUGAGAGGGCGACCGGCCACACUGGGACUGAGACACGGCCCAGACUCCUACGGGAGGCAGCAGUGGGGAAUCUUGCGCAAUGGGCGAAAGCCUGACGCAGCGACGCCGCGUGAGGGAUGACGGCCUGG